AGGGUUGGAGUUUAAAACAUUUGAUUUGCAUUCAAAAAAUAUUACUUUUUAAAGUAAUCUUCCUU
rnacentral:tRNA from 1 species